rnacentral:rRNA from 1 species
GGUUAAGCGACUAAGCGUACACGGUGGAUGCCCUGGCAGUCAGAGGCGAUGAAGGACGUGCUAAUCUGCGAAAAGCGUCGGUAAGGUGAUAUGAACCGUUAUAACCGGCGAUGUCCGAAUGGGGAAACCCAGUGCAAUUCGUUGCACUAUCGUUAACUGAAUACAUAGGUUAACGAGGCGAACCGGGGGAACUGAAACAUCUAAGUACCCCGAGGAAAAGAAAUCAACCGAGAUUCCCCCAGUAGCGGCGAGCGAACGGGGAGCAGCCCAGAGUCUGAAUCAGCUUGUGUGUUAGUGGAACGGUCUGGAAAGUCCGACGGUACAGGGUGAUAGUCCCGUACACCAAAAUGCACAGGUUGUGAACUCGAAGAGUAGGGCGGGACACGUGGUAUCCUGUCUGAAUAUGGGGGGACCAUCCUCCAAGGCUAAAUACUCCUGACUGACCGAUAGUGAACCAGUACCGUGAGGGAAAGGCGAAAAGAACCCCGGCGAGGGGAGUGAAAAAGAACCUGAAACCGUGUACGUACAAGCAGUGGGAGCACCUUCGGGUGUGACUGCGUACCUUUUGUAUAAUGGGUCAGCGACUUAUAUUCUGUAGCAAGGUUAACCGUAUAGGGGAGCCGCAGGGAAACCGAGUCUUAACUGGGCGUUAAGUUGCAGGGUAUAGACCCGAAACCCGGUGAUCUAGCCAUGGGCAGGUUGAAGGUUGGGUAACACUAACUGGAGGACCGAACCGACUAAUGUUGAAAAAUUAGCGGAUGACUUGUGGCUGGGGGUGAAAGGCCAAUCAAACCGGGAGAUAGCUGGUUCUCCCCGAAAGCUAUUUAGGUAGCGCCUCGUGAACUCAUCUUCGGGGGUAGAGCACUGUUUCGGCUAGGGGGUCAUCCCGACUUACCAACCCGAUGCAAACUACGAAUACCGAAGAAUGUUAUCACGGGAGACACACGGCGGGUGCUAACGUCCGUCGUGAAGAGGGAAACAACCCAGACCGCCAGCUAAGGUCCCAAAGUCACAGUUAAGUGGGAAACGAUGUGGGAAGGCACAGACAGCCAGGAUGUUGGCUUAGAAGCAGCCAUCAUUUAAAGAAAGCGUAAUAGCUCACUGGUCGAGUCGGCCUGCGCGGAAGAUGUAACGGGGCUAAACUGUGCACCGAAGCUGCGGCAGCGACACUAUGUGUUGUUGGGUAGGGGAGCGUUCUGUAAGCCUGCGAAGGUGGCCUGUGAGGGUUGCUGGAGGUAUCAGAAGUGCGAAUGCUGACAUAAGUAACGAUAAUGCGGGUGAAAAGCCCGCACGCCGGAAGACCAAGGGUUCCUGUCCAACGUUAAUCGGGGCAGGGUGAGUCGACCCCUAAGGCGAGGCCGAAAGGCGUAGUCGAUGGGAAACAGGUUAAUAUUCCUGUACUUGGUGUUACUGCGAAGGGGGGACGGAGAAGGCUAUGUUAGCCGGGCGACGGUUGUCCCGGUUUAAGCAUGUAGGCGGAGGUUCCAGGUAAAUCCGGUACCUUUUUAACGCUGAGGUGUGAUGACGAGGCACUACGGUGCUGAAGUAACAAAUGCCCUGCUUCCAGGAAAAGCCUCUAAGCAUCAGGUAACAUUAAAUCGUACCCCAAACCGACACAGGUGGUCAGGUAGAGAAUACCAAGGCGCUUGAGAGAACUCGGGUGAAGGAACUAGGCAAAAUGGUGCCGUAACUUCGGGAGAAGGCACGCUGAUAUGUAGGUGAAGUCCCUGCGGAUGGAGCUGAAAUCAGUCGAAGAUACCAGCUGGCUGCAACUGUUUAUUAAAAACACAGCACUGUGCAAACACGAAAGUGGACGUAUACGGUGUGACGCCUGCCCGGUGCCGGAAGGUUAAUUGAUGGGGUUAUCCGUAAGGAGAAGCUCUUGAUCGAAGCCCCGGUAAACGGCGGCCGUAACUAUAACGGUCCUAAGGUAGCGAAAUUCCUUGUCGGGUAAGUUCCGACCUGCACGAAUGGCGUAAUGAUGGCCAGGCUGUCUCCACCCGAGACUCAGUGAAAUUGAACUCGCUGUGAAGAUGCAGUGUACCCGCGGCAAGACGGAAAGACCCCGUGAACCUUUACUAUAGCUUGACACUGAACAUUGAGCCUUGAUGUGUAGGAUAGGUGGGAGGCUUUGAAGCGUGGACGCCAGUCUGCGUGGAGCCAACCUUGAAAUACCACCCUUUAAUGUUUGAUGUUCUAACGUUGGCCCCUAAUCGGGGUUGCGGACAGUGUCUGGUGGGUAGUUUGACUGGGGCGGUCUCCUCCCAAAGAGUAACGGAGGAGCACGAAGGUUAGCUAAUCCUGGUCGGACAUCAGGAGGUUAGUGCAAUGGCAUAAGCUAGCUUGACUGCGAGCGUGACGGCGCGAGCAGGUGCGAAAGCAGGUCAUAGUGAUCCGGUGGUUCUGAAUGGAAGGGCCAUCGCUCAACGGAUAAAAGGUACUCCGGGGAUAACAGGCUGAUACCGCCCAAGAGUUCAUAUCGACGGCGGUGUUUGGCACCUCGAUGUCGGCUCAUCACAUCCUGGGGCUGAAGUAGGUCCCAAGGGUAUGGCUGUUCGCCAUUUAAAGUGGUACGCGAGCUGGGUUUAGAACGUCGUGAGACAGUUCGGUCCCUAUCUGCCGUGGGCGCUGGAGAAUUGAGGGGGGCUGCUCCUAGUACGAGAGGACCGGAGUGGACGCAUCACUGGUGUUCGGGUUGUCAUGCCAAUGGCAUUGCCCGGUAGCUAAAUGCGGAAGAGAUAAGUGCUGAAAGCAUCUAAGCACGAAACUUGCCCCGAGAUGAGUUCUCCCUGAGACUUUAAGUCUCCUGAAGGAACGUUAAAGACGAUGACGUUGAUAGGUCGGGUGUGUAAGCGUAGCGAUACGUUGAGCUAACCGAUACUAAUGAACCGUGAGGCUUAACCUU